UACGCAGGGUGCUAGCGUUGCUCGGAAUCACUGGGCGUAAAGGGUGCGUAGGCGGGUCUUUAAGUCAGGGGUGAAAUCCUGGAGCUCAACUCCAGAACUGCCUUUGAUACUGAGGAUCUUGAGUUCGGGAGAGGUGAGUGGAACUGCGAGUGUAGAGGUGAAAUUCGUAGAUAUUCGCAAGAACACCAGUGGCGAAGGCGGCUCACUGGCCCGAUACUGACGCUGAGGCACGAAAGCGUGGGGAGCAAACAGG
rnacentral:rRNA from 1 species